CUGUAUGCACAGUGGCAGUAUCGUAGCCAAUGAGGUUUAUCUGAGGCGUGAUUAUUGCCAUUUGAAAACAUUUCCCAAUACCCUGCCAUGACGACUUGAAAUAUUCCUAUUUCAAAAGAAA
rnacentral:snRNA from 1 species